rnacentral:rRNA from 1 species
GAUGAACGCUGGCUACAGGCUUAACACAUGCAAGUCGAGGGGAAACGACGGGGAAGCUUGCUUCCCCGGGCGUCGACCGGCGCACGGGUGAGUAACGCGUAUCCAACCUGCCUCUGACUGAGGGAUAACCCGUCGAAAGUCGGCCUAAUACCUCAUGGUAUCGUCUGCGGGCAUCCAACGACGAUUAAAGAUUUCAUCGGUCAGGGAUGGGGAUGCGUCUGAUUAGCUUGUUGGCGGGGUAACGGCCCACCAAGGCUACGAUCAGUAGGGGUUCUGAGAGGAAGGUCCCCCACAUGGGAACUGGGACACGGACCAAACGCCUACGGGAGGCAGCAGUGUGGAAUAUUGGUCAAUGGGCGAGAGCAUGAACCAGCCAAGUAGCGUGCAGGAAGGCGGCGCUAUGGGUUGUAAACUGCUUUUAUGCGGGGAUAAAGUGAGGGACGUGUCCCUCAUUGCAGGUACCGCAUGAAUAAGGACCGGCUAAUUCCGUG